AGGUUGUGUUGUGAACACAUCCUCUAGAACUUCUUGAAUCGCUCCAAAGCUUCAUAAAGAUUUUCAUCAGCGGAUUGAGCAAAUGUCAUAAUAUCAUUCUUUUGCUU